rnacentral:misc_RNA from 1 species
AUCAAAGGGCUGCAACCCUUGAAAGAAAGGUUUAUGCUCUUACAAAGGAAAGGGAUACACUCCGGAGAGAGCAGAAUAAGAAAAGUGAUGCAGCUGUUCUUUUGAAGGAAAAAGAUGAAAUUAUCAGUCAGGUUAUGGCUGAAGGUGAAGAGCUUUCAAAGAAGCAGGCUGCUCAAGAAUCUACAAUUAGGAAAUUAAGAGCUCAGAUUAGAGAGCUUGAAGAGGAGAAGAAAAGCUUGAUGACCAAACUUCAGGUGGAAGAGAAUAAAGUAGAGAGUAUCAAGAAGGACAAGACAGCUACUGAAAAGUUGCUGCAAGAGACAAUAGAAAAACACCAAGCAGAACUUGCAGGACAGAAAGAGUAUUAUACAAAUGCUUUGACUGC